UGGGGAAUUUUGGACAAUGGGGGAAACCCUGAUCCAGCCAUCCCGCGUGUGCGAUGAAGGCCUUCGGGUUGUAAAGCACUUUUGGCAGGAAAGAAACGUCGCGGGUUAAUACCCCGCGAAACUGACGGUACCUGCAGAAUAAGCACCGGCUAACUACGUGCCAGCAGCCGCGGUAAUACGUAGGGUGCAAGCGUUAAUCGGAAUUACUGGGCGUAAAGCGUGCGCAGGCGGUUCGGAAAGAAAGAUGUGAAAUCCCAGAGCUUAACUUUGGAACUGCAUUUUUAACUACCGGGCUAGAGUGUGUCAGAGGGAGGUGGAAUUCCGCGUGUAGCAGUGAAAUGCGUAGAUAUGCGGAGGAACACCGAUGGCGAAGGCAGCCUCCUGGGAUAACACUGACGCUCAUGCACGAAAGCGUGGGGAGCAAACAGGAUUAGAUACCCUGGUAGUCCACGCCCUAAACGAUGUCAACUAGCUGUUGGGGCCUUCGGGCCUUGGUAGCGCAGCUAACGCGUGAAGUUGACCGCCUGGGGAGUNCGGUCGCAAGAUUAAAACUC
rnacentral:rRNA from 1 species